rnacentral:rRNA from 1 species
ACGGAAGGCAGCGGUGAGGAAUAUUGGUCAAUGGGCGCGAGCCUGAACCAGCCAAGUAGCGUGAAGGAUGACUGCCCUAUGGGUUGUAAACUUCUUUUGUUCGGGAAUAAAGUCAGGGACGUGUCCCUGUUUGUAUGUACCGUUCGAAUAAGCAUCGGCUAAUUCCGUGCCAGCAGCCGCGGUAAUACGGAAGAUGCGAGCGUUAUCCGGAUUUAUUGGGUUUAAAGGGAGCGUAGGCGGACUGUUAAGUCAGCGGUUAAAUGUCAUGGCCCAACCUUGGCAUGCCGUUGAAACUGGCGGUCUUGAAUACACACAAGGAAGGUGGAAUUCGUCGUGUAGCGGUGAAAUGCUUAGAUAUGACGAAGAACUCCGAUUGCGAAGGCAGCCUUCUGGGGUGCGAUUGACGCUGAGGCUCGAAAGUGCGGGUAUCGAACAGGAUUAGAUACCCUGGUA